UAGAACUGCUUCCAAAACUGAUAAACUAGAGUCUGGGAGGGGAAGAUGGAAUUAGUAGUGUAGGGGUAAAAUCCGUAGAGAUUACUAGGAAUACCAAAAGCGAAGGCGAUCUUCUGGAACAGUACUGACGCUGAGAUGCGAAAGCGUGGGGAGCAAACAGGAUUAGAUACCCUGGUAGUCCACGCAGUAAACGAUGAAUGUUAGUCGUUGGGACUCUAGUAGUUUCAGUGAUGCAGUUAACACAUUAAACAUUCCGCCUGGGGAGUACGGUCGCAAGAUUAAAACUCAAAGGAAUAGACGGGGACCCGCACAAGUGGUGGAGCAUGUGGUUUAAUUCGAAGAUACGCGAAGAACCUUACCUAGCCUUGACAUACUACAGAAUUUGACAGAGAUGUUGAAGUGCCUUCGGGAGCUGUAAUACAGGUGCUGCACGGCUGUCGUCAGCUCGUGUCGUGAGAUGUUGGGUUAAGUCCCGCAACGAGCGCAACCCUCGUCCUUAGUUACUAACGGUUCGGCCGAGGACUCUAAGGAGACUGCCUUCGUAAGGAGGAGGAAGGUGAGGACGACGUCAAGUCAUCAUGGCCCUUACGGCUAGGGCAACACACGUGCUACAAUGGUUAGGACAAUGAGAAGCGAUACCGCGAGGUGGAGCAAAUCUAUAAACCUAAUCUCAGUUCGGAUAGCAGUCUGCAACUCGACUGCUUGAAGCUGGAAUCACUAGUAAUCGUAAAUCAGCUAUGUUACGGUGAAUACGU
rnacentral:rRNA from 1 species